AUUGAACGCUGGCGGCAGGCCUAACACAUGCAAGUCGAGCGGUAACACAGGGAGCUUGCUCCCGGGUGACGAGCGGCGGACGGGUGAGUAAUGUCUGGGAAACUGCCUGAUGGAGGGGGAUAACUACUGGAAACGGUAGCUAAUACCGCAUAAUGUCGCAAGACCAAAGAGGGGGACCUUCGGGCCUCUUGCCAUCAGAUGUGCCCAGAUGGGAUUAGCUAGUAGGUGGGGUAACGGCCCACCUAGGCGACGAUCCCUAGCUGGUCUGAGAGGCUGACCAGCCACACUGGAACGGGGACACGGUCCAGACGCCUACGGGAGGCAGCAGUGGGGAAUAUUGCACAAUGGGCGCAAGCCUGAUGCAGCCAUGCCGCGUGUAUGAAGAAGGCCUUCGGGUUGUAAAGUACUUUCAGCGGGGAGGAAGGUGUUGAGGUUAAUAACCUCAGCAAUUGACGUUACCCGCAGAAGAAGCACCGGCUAACUCCGUGCCAGCCGCCGCAGUAA
rnacentral:rRNA from 1 species